CGGAGGCGGUGGCGGAGGCGGCGGCGGCUCGGCAGGCGGGUUGAAGCUUCGGGGGGCCAGCCGCCGCCAUGAUCCUGCUGGAGGUGAACAACCGCAUCAUCGAGGAGACGCUCGCGCUCAAGUUCGAGAACGCGGCCUCCGGAAACAAACCAGAAGCUGUAGAAGUAACAUUUGCAGAUUUUGAUGGCGUCCUUUAUCAUAUUUCAAAUCCUAAUGGAGACAAAACAAAAGUGAUGGUCAGUAUUUCUUUGAAAUUCUACAAGGAACUUCAGGCACAUGGAGCUGAUGAGUUAUUAAAGAGAGUAUAUGGGAGUUUCUUGGUAAAUCCAGAACCAGGAUAUAAUGUUUCUUUGCUAUAUGACCUGGAAAAUCUACCUGCAUCCAAGGAUUCUAUUGUGCAUCAGGCUGGCAUGUUGAAGAGAAAUUGUUUUGCCUCUGUGUUUGAGAAAUACUUCCAAUUCCAAGAAGAGGGCAAAGAAGGAGAGAACAGAGCAGUUAUCCAUUAUAGGGAUGAUGAGACCAUGUAUGUGGAAUCUAAGAAAGACAGAGUCACAGUAGUCUUCAGCACGGUUUUUAAAGAUGACGACGAUGUGGUCAUCGGGAAGGUGUUCAUGCAGGAGUUCAAAGAAGGACGAAGAGCCAGCCACACAGCCCCCCAGGUCCUUUUCAGCCACAGGGAACCUCCUCUAGAGCUGAAAGACACAGAUGCUGCUGUGGGUGACAACAUUGGCUACAUCACCUUUGUGCUGUUCCCUCACCACACCAAUGCCACUGCUCGAGACAACACCAUCAACCUGAUCCACACGUUCCGGGACUAUCUGCAUUACCACAUUAAGUGCUCUAAGGCCUAUAUUCAUACACGAAUGCGAGCAAAAACAUCCGACUUCCUUAAGGUGCUCAACCGUGCACGCCCAGAUGCCGAGAAAAAAGAAAUGAAAACAAUCACGGGGAAGACUUUUUCAUCCCGCUAACUCUUGGGAACUGAGGAGGAAGCGCUGUUGACCGAAGGCUGGACUGCUUGCUACUGGAUAAUCGUAGCCCUUCAUGUUGCACCUUCUCCAGGUUCUUGAGGGAUUCUCCAUUUGGGUUCCAUUUUGUACGAGUUUGGCAAAUAACCUGCAGAAACAAGCUGUGCUUGCAAGGACUUGAUAGUUCCUAAGAAUUAAAAAAAAAAA